rnacentral:rRNA from 1 species
GACGGAGGAUGCAAGUGUUAUCCGGAAUCACUGGGCGUAAAGCGUCUGUAGGUGGUUUAAUAAGUCAACUGUUAAAUCUUGAGGCUCAACCUCAAAAUCGCAGUCGAAACUAUUGGGCUAGAGUAUAGUAGGGGUAAAGGGAAUUUCCAGUGGAGCGGUGAAAUGCGUAGAGAUUGGAAAGAACACCGAUGGCGAAGGCACUUUACUGGGCUAUUACUAACACUCAGAGACGAAAGCUAGGGUAGCAAAUGGG